rnacentral:rRNA from 1 species
CCUACGUGAGGCAGCAGUGAGGAAUAUUGGUCAAUGGACGCAAGUCUGAACCAGCCAAGCCGCGUGAAGGAUGACUGCUCUAUGGGUUGUAAACUUCUUUUAUAUGGGAGUAAAAUGUUCCACGCGUGUGAUUUUGUAUGUAUCAUAUGAAUAAGGAUCGGCUAACUCCGUGCCAGCAGCCGCGGUAAUACGGAGGAUUCGAGCGUUAUCCGGAUUUAUUGGGUUUAAAGGGAGCGUAGGUGGUAGGUUAAGUCAGUUGUGAAAGUUCGAGGCUCAACUUGAGAAUUGCAGUUGAAACUGGUAGGCUAGAGUGCAGUAGAGGUGGGCGGAAUGUGUGGUGUAGCGGUGAAAUGCUUAGAGAUCACGAAGAACACCGAUUGCGAAGGCAGUUCACUGGACUGCAACUGACACUGAGGCGCGAAAGUGUGGGGAGCAAACAGGAUUAGAUACCCCAGUAGUC